rnacentral:rRNA from 1 species
GACGAACGCUGGCGGCGUGCUUAACACAUGCAAGUCGAACGGAAAGGCCCUGCUUGCGUGGUACGCUAGUGUGGAACAGGUGAGUAACACAUGUGUGAUCUGCCCUGUUCUUCUUGAUAAACUUGCGAGACUGGGUCUAAUACCCGAUAUGAGACCUCCUGAUUGUGGUGGUUGGAAAGAUUUUUCCGUGUAGGAGGAGACGCGACUCCCUAUCUUACUUGUUGGUGGGGGAAUGACCUACCAUACGCGGGCACUGAUAGCCAGCCUGACAGGGAGUACGACCACAUUGGUACUGACAUACAGACCACACUCAUACCUAAGGCAGGAAUGGGGAAUAUAGAACUAUGGGCGCAAGCAUGAUGGAUCGACCCCCCGUGCGGGAUGAAUGACUUCCGUUUGUAAACUCCUUUCUUUACGCACGAACCUUUUUGUGACUGACACCUAAAUAAUAAGCACCGGCUAACUACGCACCUGCAGCCGCCGUAAUACAUACGGAGCGAGCGAUGUCCGGAAUGUACUGAUCGUAAAGGGCCCGUAGGUGGUUUGUCGCGUCGUCUGUGAAAUUCUGGGGCUUAAUUCCGGGCGUGCAGGCGAUACGGGCAUAACUUGAGUGCUGUAGGGGUAACUGGAAUUCCUGGUGUAGCGGUGAAAUGCGCAGAUAUCAGGAGGAACACCGAUGGCGAAGGCAGGUUACUGGGCAGUUACUGACGCUGAGGAGCGAAAGCAUGGGUAGCGAACAGGAUUAGAUACCCUGGUAGUCCAUGCCGUAAACGGUGGGCGCCAGGUGUGAGGGUCUUUCUACGACUUUCGUGCCGUAGCUAACGCAUUAAGCGCCCCGCCUGGGGAGUACGGCCGCAAGGCUAAAACUCAAAGGAAUUGACGGGGGCCCGCACAAGCGGCGGAGCAUGUGGAUUAAUUCGAUGCAACGCGAAGAACCUUACCUGGGCUUGACAUACAUCAGAUCGCUGCAGAGAUGUAGUUUCCCUUUGUGGUUGGUGUACAGGUGGUGCAUGGUUGUCGUCAGCUCGUGUCGUGAGAUGUUGGGUUAAGUCCCGCAACGAGCGCAACCCUUGUCUUAUGUUGCCAGCAUUUGGUUGGGGACUCAUGAGAGACUGCCGGGGUUAACUCGGAGGAAGGUGGGGAUGACGUCAAAUCAUCAUGCCCCUUAUGUCCAGGGCUUCGCACAUGCUACAAUGGUCGGUACAACGCGCUGCGACACUGUGAGGUGGAGCGAAUCGCUGAAAGCCGGCCUUAGUUCGGAUUGGGGUCUGCAACUCGACCCCAUGAAUUGGGAGUCGCUAGUAAUCGCAGAUCAGCAAUGCUGCGGUGAAUAGGUUCCGGGGCU